GAUGAACGCUGGCGGCGUGCCUAAUACAUGCAAGUCGAGCGAACAGAUGAGGAGCUUGCUCCUCUGACGUUAGCGGCGGACGGGUGAGUAACACGUGGAUAACCUACCUAUAAGACUGGGAUAACUUCGGAAAACCGGAGCUAAUACCGGAUAAUAUAUUGAACCGCAUGGUUCAAUAGUGAAAGACGGUUUUGCUGUCACUUAUAGAUGGAUCCGCGCCGCAUUAGCUAGUUGGUAAGGUAACGGCUUACCAAGGCAACGAUGCGUAGCCGACCUGAGAGGGUGAUCGGCCACACUGGAACUGAGACACGGUCCAGACUCCUACGGGAGGCAGCAGUAGGGAAUCUUCCGCAAAGGGCGAAAGCCUGACGGAGCAACGCCGCGUGAGUGAUGAAGGUCUUCGGAUCGUAAAACUCUGUUAUUAGGGAAGAACAAAUGUGUAAGUAACUAUGCACGUCUUGACGGUACCUAAUCAGAAAGCCGCGGCUAACUACGUG
rnacentral:rRNA from 1 species